AUCAAUGUAGGAUCUUAGCUGUGCCCUUUUCCUGUAGAGGUGGCCUAUGCACAAGACUUCCUUCUGCGAUGCGCUGAGAGAUGAAGGAGAGGUGACAAAGAGGGGAGAAGUCCGCACUCCGUAAAUAUAAGCAUAUUAUGUUGGUAUUGAAGAGAAACAACUGAGAGUGUCAAGAGGCAUCAAGGAGUAAGAAUUAACUUCUUCAUCCAGAAGAUGCUUCAGCUGAAAUGUUAAGCAGCCUGAAGUCCAAGAGCAGCAGACGCUAUCUGGGAGUCCAGCCUACAUGCGCCAUGGUUCUGGUGUCCAAAUACAAGAAAACAGCAUCAGCAGCACAGAAGUUGGAGACCCUAUUGACCACUUGCCAAACCUUGGCUUAAUGAGAUUUAGAGCUGGAAUGUGAACAAAAUGAUUGGUGUUUCCUGCUAAUUUGAUGUGACCUUGAGAAUAGAACCCAAGAGAGGUUAAUCCUGUGCUGGGCUCAUUUUUUGCUCCACUUCAAUCUUCUAUGUCACCUGGACAUCAAACACAAGGUGCAAUAUCUCAACAGUUCUGCAGAGUGGACAUAAACCAUCUAUUUUUGUAUUACAUUCUCUGAAUAGAGGAAAUUCAAGUCUAUCCAUAUACUGAAAUGCUGGAUGGGAGCGGGGGGGAAUGUUGAAACUGAGUUGCCUUAAAUGGUGAUUGUUUAAGGAGAUCGUUACAAGGAGUAAAACCAAGCAGCAGGAUAAAGAUAAAAGGUGAAAUUAGCGUGCUUGUGUUACAGGAGUGUGAAAGGGAUGAAUAUGGAGGUUUAUUACUUUACCUCUGAGGGUGAAUCUAUAGUUUUGUCACAGUUUUGGCUGGUCUGGUCUACGUCGUGUACUUACAGGCUACUAACAGAAAUAAUUUAGGAGUUGAUGGGUAGACAAAGAUUCGUCCAGUGCAUUGGUGAGAAGAUAGGAUUGUUAAAUUAGAAAUAGGACAAUGUUACAAAUUUGGGGAACCUGGGAAAAAUAGCUAAGCUAAGAGAGGAUUACGAUAGUGUGAGGAGAUGGGAGCUGUUAUGGAGAAGCAGAGAAAAGGGGUGACAUAAAAACAGACUAGAGGAAAUAAGAUUAAAGAGUUUAGGAGAAGCUUUAAAAAAAAAAAGAGGAGCCAUCAAAAGAAAGCACCAAUGCAUGGAAGAAAGGCAGAGAGGAGAAAGAGAGUGAAAGCUUGGGAUGAUGAGGGAAACAAUGAGUGCCUGAAGCAGACAUGCCCCCGGGCUCCUUGCAGUACCCAGAACUCUGGCUACCCUGGCUAUGGUUAGAACAGAAUGGCUGUCCUUGGGCUUUAAGAAAGAUAUAUGUCUACAGUACUGUCUUAACUUCUUAAUCCACGUUCUUCCAAGUGUGUAUUACCCAGUCUAAAGAGUAUGCAGCAUCUAUAAACACGUACAACAUUCAAUUCAGACAAAAAUUUGAGGGAAAAUAGGAUUUUUAAAGGUGUUAAUGAAAUUAAUGGCAAAACACUAAACAAUCAAGGAUUCUGGAGUCAUAUAUGUACUUAAGAGUUAAGAAUUGCAAUAAAUCCCAUGCUGAUUACUCAUUUAUUCAAUAUAACCCUGUAUAUAUGUUUAAUUCAGGUGUAAUAACAUCAUUUUCAUCUUUAAUCUCAUUUAUAUGUAGUAAUAAUGUCUUGUUAAAACCUAGGCUACGCUACCUUAAAACAAGCCAAUUGACUUGAUCUUGUGGAUUAUUAAAGAUGAACAGUAUAGUUCCUAGUUCCAAUAAAAGAAGCAUUAUCUGAGCAGGGAAAGUACUUCAAAAAAA